rnacentral:rRNA from 1 species
UACGGAGGGAGCUAGCGUUGUUCGGAAUUACUGGGCGUAAAGCGCACGUAGGCGGCUUUGUAAAUUAGAGGUGAAAGCCCGGGGCUCAACCCCGGAAUUGCCUUUAAGACUGCAUCGCUUGAAUCCGGGAGAGGUGAGUGGAAUUCCGAGUGUGGAGGUGAAAUUCGUAGAUAUUCGGGAGAACACCAGUGGCGAAGGCGGCUCACUGGACCGGUAUUGACGCUGAGGUGCGAAAGCGUGGGGAGCAAACAGG